AUAAUGCCCGCAUGCCAGCAUUCUCCAAAACUUUUCCCGUUUCUCAUUUCAUCCACUGCUCCCUUUAUAACUAUGUGGGGAAUUAGCUCAAAUGGUAGAGCGCUCGCUUAGCAUGCGAGAAGUAGCGGGAUCGAUGCCCGCAUUCUCCAAAACUUUUUCCGUCCCAGCGCGUGGCCAUGUAUAAGUUAAUGUGAGUACACAUUUAAAUUACUUUAUGGCAUUAUUUCGCGCAGGCAUGGCCAGCCACGCGCUAUAGCGGUAGCCUGAUAUAGUAAAGAUUGACUUUCCUUAACAUUCCACUAGUGUGACUAGUUUCACAUAGGUGCCAGUGCCGAGAAAGAACUGUAGCAACAUUGUAGCUACAGUCAAAACAGCACUCGAGAUAGCCUGCUGUAUUCAUUUUAUCCACUGCUCCCUGUUUAGCUAUGUGGGGAAUUAGCUCAAAUGGUAGAGCGCUCGCUUAGCAUGCGAGAAGUAGCGGGAUCGAUGCCCGCAUUCUCCAAAACUUUUUCCGUCCCAGCGCGUGGCCAUGUAUAAGUUAAUGUGUCCCAUGAAAAAGUUGUCUUCAAUGGUACAACCAGGAGAGGGAUGACAUGCAUGACCUGGCUCUCCUCUGCUGAGACCGAUCCGGGCCCAGCAGCGCAGGCCCAGCUCUAACAGUGGUCCUCCCUACAGGUUGUCCUGUUCCCCUCCCCUUUGGCACCAGCUCCUGACACAACAAAAGAGGAUUGCUCUGAAGAGUUCCUGCUGGAUACAGAUCUGCCAAGCCCACCUCUGCCACUGCCCUUGAAAGCUUCUCCACUGGGCCCAUCAAGAGAUGUUGCCUUUUCAUCAUGGACCACGGCCCAUGGACAGAGCCCAUUAGAACUGCCAGUGAUGUCCUACUGGUCAAGCACCACAGGGAGGAAGAGACCCUGAAGUGGGUGGAUCUGCUGUGCUCUUAACACCAGCCCAGAGAAUCUCUAGAGACGCACAGCUGUGACAUUAUGUUAUUGCAGAGAGUAACGUAAUGCCACAUCCCCUUCCACCUGCACUUCCACAGCAGAAAACCUCACCAAUUCAAGUAUACCAUUUGAGGAUUUUGCUGCGGCUGCCUUCUUUCAAUGGGAGCUGGAGGCCUCGAUGCAGAGGAAGGAGUGAGGAAUGGGCGAACUGAGAAAAUAAAAAAUCCUUAGAGCAGCAUCCCUCCGGCCGUCGGUACAGGUUGUACAGCCACCUGUACACAUCUGUACAGCCACCUGUACACAUCUGUGCAGCCACCAGCCGCUGAAACAAGGCCCCAACAGCCCUCACACACAUACCGGCUUGCCUUGAGUGGCAGGAAAAUAUCUACUGCCUUUUAUGUGACUGAAAGGUGGAGAUGGAUGGUGAAGAAGGGGGAAUGACUCUACAGACACACACACACACAGAAAUAAAUAGGAGCUGAAAAUCUAUUUCCAUUAAUGGAAGUGGUUUGGACUCGUUUGAUUUGUAUUUAUUUCACAGGUACUGUCCAUUCUUUUACAUUACUGUACAUACAUUGCUGGAUAUCACUGUAUAUAUUAUUGUCCAUUACUAUUUUGUGUAAAUGUUGCACAAAGGCCAACCAUUUAUUCUAAUCGCGGUGAAUAUGUCUUGUAUCAUAAACUAAUUGCUAUAGUUAGUGUGUGAAUACGUUUGUUGUAUGAAGAGUUGUCCUCCAACACUAUCAUAACUAUGGCUUUGAUUUCAUUCAAGUAAACCUCAGAGUAAUCUUCUCUAUGAGCUGCUUUAGAGUUGUCUUUAUGAGUAAGAUACAUGCCUUUCCAUUGUGCUCUAACACUCAUAAAUAUUCCUUUGAUUUCAUUCUAUUAAACCUCAACGUAAAGCAAUCUUCUCUUGUUUUUU